GAGAGAUGAAGAAGCAGCAGCUAAAAUGAGCAAAAUGUCCCAGAUGAGACCAGAGAAGUGUCGGAGGGGAAUUUGUCAGACUCCUGCUGAGCCGGAAACAGUCGUGAAAUGACAGCAUCAGGUGAAUACAGCCACAGCCACAGAGAAAACAUGGAGGAAUCUGGGAGAGCAACAUCCAACAGCAGCAACAUGCUCUCAACAGUGGGCUCUGAACACGCGUGGCAAAGAAAAGCCAAAAAAGUACCCUAAGCAGAAAACAGUUUUCAGCUGCUUCCAGUUCGAUCAGGAGAAGAACCCAGUGUGUGGUGGCGGCCAUUUGUUUAUCACGCUCACAUUUCCCCAUCUUUGCUGUAUUUGCUCUGUGGUUGAGCUGCAGAUGUGUUCGCCAGACAACAACAACAACAGCAGAGAAAAAACCACCAGUCCGUGAAAACAAUAUAUUUUAAAAAACAACAGACUUCAUGCAAAACUUAAAAUAAUCUCCAACCGAAAAAGUUUCAAACAGCACAAACAGUUUAUUCUGGUCAAAUGUAGAGUAAUAAAAAAGAAAA